rnacentral:tRNA from 1 species
UCUCUGGUGGCUCAGAUGGUAAAGAAUCUGCCUGCAAUGCAGGAGACCUGGGUUCAAUCCCUAGGCCAGGAA